AACCCCGAGAAGACAGCUCUCACACCAUGGACUGGAUCUUGAGAAUCCUCUUCCUGGUGGUGGCAGCUACAGGCAAUGACUCUGAAGUCCACCUGGUCCAGUCUGGCGCUGAAGUGAAGAAGCCCGGUGCUUCAGUGAAGAUCUCCUGCAAAACUUCUGGAUACUCACUCACCAGUUACCUUAUUGGCUGGGUGAGGCAGACCCCUGGACACAGGUUUGAGUGGAUGGGAGAGAUCUCCACUAGUAAUGGUGGAACAAGGUACCCAUCCAAGUUCCAGAGCAGCAUCGCCAUGACCAGGGAAACAUCCCAAAGCACAGCCUCCAUGGAGCUGAGAGGUCUGAGCUCUGAGGACAUGGCCAUGUAUUACUGUAGGAGGGGCACCCAGUGAGAUAACCCAAUGAGACAACCCAGUGAGAAAGCUGUGCUGGGCUCCCAGAAGGCAGAGUCAACCAAGGUAUACAGGCUGCUAAAUUUUCCAGUUGGGUAAUCAGGGGACAAAA